rnacentral:rRNA from 1 species
UGGCUCAGGAUGAACGCUGGCGGCGUGCUUAACACAUGCAAGUCGAACGGUGAAGCAGAGCUUGCUCUGUGGAUCAGUGGCGAACGGGUGAGUAACACGUGAGCAACCUGCCCUGGACUCUGGGAUAAGCGCUGGAAACGGCGUCUAAUACUGGAUACGAGACGUGGCCGCAUGGUCAACGAUUGGAAAGAUUUUUUGGUUCAGGAUGGGCUCGCGGCCUAUCAGCUUGUUGGUGAGGUAAUGGCUCACCAAGGCGUCGACGGGUAGCCGGCCUGAGAGGGUGACCGGCCACACUGGGACUGAGACACGGCCCAGACUCCUACGGGAGGCAGCAGUGGGGAAUAUUGCACAAUGGGCGAAAGCCUGACGCAGCAACGCCGCGUGAGGGAUGACGGCCUUCGGGUUGUAAACCUCUUUUAGCAAGGAAGAAGCGAAAGUGACGGUACUUGCAGAAAAAGCGCCGGCUAACUACGUGCCAGCAGCCGCGGUAAUACGUAGGGCGCAAGCGUUAUCCGGAAUUAUUGGGCGUAAAGAGCUCGUANGCGGUUUGUCGCGUCUGCUGUGAAAACUGGAGGCUCAACCUCC